ensembl:misc_RNA Metazoa_SRP Metazoan signal recognition particle RNA
GCCAGGUGCAGUGGUGUGCGCCUGUAGUCCUAGCUACUCAGGAGGCUGAGGCAAGAGGGUCACUUGAGCCCAGUAGUUUGAGGUGGCAGUGAGCUAUGAUCAUGCCACUGCACUCCAGCCUGGCCAAUAAAGUGAGACUCUGUCUCUA